rnacentral:rRNA from 1 species
AAUCAGCGCUGGCGGCGUGCCUCAGACAUGCAAGUCGAACGAUUAAAGCUCUCUUCGGAGAGUGUAUAGAGUGGCGCACGGGUGAGUAACACGUAAGUAAUCUACCUUCGAGUGGGGAAUAACGUCCGGAAACGGACGCUAAUACCGCAUAAUGCAGCGGCAUCGCAAGAUGACAGUUGUUAAAGAUUUAUCGCUUGAAGAGGAGCUUGCGGCAGAUUAGCUAGUUGGUAAGGUAAUGGCUUACCAAGGCUACGAUCUGUAACCGGUCUAAGAGGACGGUCGGUCACACUGACACUGAAUAACGGGUCAGACUCCUACGGGAGGCAGCAGUCGGGAA